rnacentral:rRNA from 1 species
CCAGACUCCUACGGGAGGCAGCAGUGGGGAAUAUUGGACAAUGGGGGCAACCCUGAUCCAGCAAUUCUGUGUGCACGAAGAAGGUUUUCGGAUUGUAAAGUGCUUUCAGCAGGGAAGAAAAAAGUGACGGUACCUGCAGAAGAAGCGACGGCUAAAUACGUGCCAGCAGCCGCGGUAAUACGUAUGUCGCAAGCGUUAUCCGGAAUUAUUGGGCAUAAAGGGCAUCUAGGCGGCCAGACAAGUCUGGGGUGAAAACUUGCGGCUCAACCGCAAGCCUGCCCUGGAAACUGUUUGGCUAGAGUGCUGGAGAGGUGGACGGAACUGCACGAGUAGAGGUGAAAUUCGUAGAUAUGUGCAGGAAUGCCGAUGAUGAAGAUAGUUCACUGGACGGCAACUGACGCUGAAGUGCGAAAGCUAGGGGAGCGAACAGGAUUAGAUACCCUGGUAGUCCUAGCUGUAAACGAUGAUUACUGGGUGUGGGCAUGAAGAGUGUCCGUGCCGAAGCAAAUGCGAUAAGUAAUCCGCCUGGGGAGUACGGCCGCAAGGCUGAAACUCAAAGGAAUUGACGGGGGCCCGCACAAG